UCCACACCAAGAAGGGUGCUUUGGGAGUGGGUUUCACAUUGAGCACGAUGCUUUAGGAACAGGCAGCAACCACCUGUAACAUUUUAAUUCACCUCCUUGUCCAGAUUUUUCCAGGCUAGAGCUCAGGUAAUGCUCUCCUCAGCUGCCACUGAUGGUCAGGGUGCUACAGGAGGAGAAGCACUGACUGGAUUGCUACAGUUUGUGUAGGAAAAGGAAUUCAUUGCAUCUCAGAGAACUGGGAAGAAGAAGAGAUUUCAUAAAAAGCAAACAAACCAAACCAGAGAGGAUGCACAGGAUAAAGAGUAUUUGGCUCCACACCUUUAAUCACAGUGCCACGUCAGGGAGCGUUUGCAUUGGUGUACCUGCUUUAUUUUACCUUUUAUUUUCACCUAAGAAAUUGAAGCAGUUGUGACCCACCCUAAUUUCUAGAGCUGACAUAAUGCCUUGGCAAGGCAACAAGACCCCUGUCCCAGCCAGGAGCCAGCUGCAGAAAAGUAGGGAAAAUAAACUGCUCUGGAAUUU